UAGGGAAUAUUGCGCAAUGGGCGGAAGCCUGACGCAGCAACGCCGCGUGGGGGAUGAAUGCCUUCGGGUUGUAAACCCCUUUCAGCAGGGACGAAAUUGACGGUACCUGCAGAAGAAGCCCCGGCCAACUACGUGCCAGCAGCCGCGGUAAUACGUAGGGGGCGAGCGUUGUCCGGAUUUAUUGGGCGUAAAGAGCUCGUAGACGGCUCAGCAAGUCGGGUGGGAAAUCUCCAGGCUCAACCUGGAGCCUUCGCUCGAUACUGCUGUGGCUUGAGUCCGGUAGGGGAGUGUGGAAUUCCCGGUGUAGCGGUGAAAUGCGCAGAUAUCGGGAGGAACACCGGCGGCGAAGGCGGCACUCUGGGCCGGUACUGACGCUGAGGAGCGAAAGCGUGGGGAGCAAACAGGAUUAGAUACC
rnacentral:rRNA from 1 species